rnacentral:rRNA from 1 species
CCAUGAAGCUGGAUUCGCUGUAAUCGCGCAUCAGCCACGGCGCGGUGAAUACGUUCCCGGGCCUUGUACACACCGCCCGUCAAGCCAUGGAAGCCGGGAGUGCCUGAAGUACGCGACCGCAAGGAGCGUCCUAAGGUAAAACCGGUGACUGGGGCUAAGUCGUAACAAGGUAAC